rnacentral:rRNA from 1 species
GUUAUAUGGUCAAGUGAAGAAGCGCAUACGGUGGAUGCCUUGGCAGUCAGAGGCGAUGAAAGACGUGGUAGCCUGCGAAAAGCUUCGGGGAGUCGGCAAACAGACUGUGAUCCGGAGGUAUCUGAAUGGGGGAACCCAGCCAUCAUAAGAUGGUUAUCUUGUACUGAAUACAUAGGUGCAAGAGGCGAACCAGGGGAACUGAAACAUCUAAGUACCCUGAGGAAAAGAAAUCAACCGAGAUUCCCUUAGUAGUGGCGAGCGAACGGGGACCAGCCCUUAAGUUGUAUUGAGAUUAGCGGAACGUUCUGGAAAGGACGGCCAUAGUGGGUGAUAGCCCUGUACGCGAAAAUCCCUUUGCAAUGAAAUCGAGUAGGACGGGGCACGAGAAACCUUGUCUGAAUAUGGGGGGACCAUCCUCCAAGGCUAAAUACUACUGACUGACCGAUAGUGAACCAGUACCGUGAGGGAAAGGCGAAAAGAACCGCGGAGAGCGGAGUGAAAUAGAUCCUGAAACCGUAUGCGUACAAGCAGUGGGAGCCCACUUUGUUGGGUGACUGCGUACCUUUUGUAUAAUGGGUCAGCGACUUAUUUUCAGUGGCGAGCUUAACCGAAUAGGGGAGGCGUAGCGAAAGCGAGUCUUAAUAGGGCGUCUAGUCGCUGGGAAUAGACCCGAAACCGGGCGAUCUAUCCAUGGGCAGGUUGAAGGUUGGGUAACACUAACUGGAGGACCGAACCGACUACCGUUGAAAAGUUAGCGGAUGACCUGUGGAUCGGAGUGAAAGGCUAAUCAAGCUCGGAGAUAGCUGGUUCUCCUCGAAAGCUAUUUAGGUAGCGCCUCAUGUAUCACUGUAGGGGGUAGAGCACUGUUUCGGCUAGGGGGUCAUCCCGACUUACCAAACCGAUGCAAACUCCGAAUACCUACAAGUGCCGAGCAUGGGAGACACACGGCGGGUGCUAACGUCCGUCGUGAAAAGGGAAACAACCCAGACCGUCAGCUAAGGUCCCAAAGUCAUGGUUAAGUGGGAAACGAUGUGGGAAGGCUUAGACAGCUAGGAGGUUGGCUUAGAAGCAGCCACCCUUUAAAGAAAGCGUAAUAGCUCACUAGUCGAGUCGGCCUGCGCGGAAGAUGUAACGGGGCUCAAACCAUGCACCGAAGCUACGGGUAUCAUCUUUUGAUGAUGCGGUAGAGGAGCGUUCUGUAAGCCUGUGAAGGUGAGUUGAGAAGCUUGCUGGAGGUAUCAGAAGUGCGAAUGCUGACAUGAGUAACGACAAUGGGUGUGAAAAACACCCACGCCGAAAGACCAAGGUUUCCUGCGCAACGUUAAUCGACGCAGGGUUAGUCGGUCCCUAAGGCGAGGCUGAAAAGCGUAGUCGAUGGAAAACAGGUUAAUAUUCCUGUACUUCUGGUUAUUGCGAUGGAGGGACGGAGAAGGCUAGGCCAGCCUGGCGUUGGUUGUCCAGGUUUAAGGUGGUAGGCUGAGAUCUUAGGUAAAUCCGGGAUCUCAAGGCCGAGAGCUGAUGACGAGUGUUCUUUAGAACACGAAGUGGUUGAUGCCAUGCUUCCAAGAAAAGCUUCUAAGCUUCAGGUAACCAGGAACCGUACCCCAAACCGACACAGGUGGUUGGGUAGAGAAUACCAAGGCGCUUGAGAGAACUCGGGUGAAGGAACUAGGCAAAAUGGCACCGUAACUUCGGGAGAAGGUGCGCCGGUGAGGGUGAAGCAUUUACUGCGUAAGCUCAUGCCGGUCGAAGAUACCAGGCCGCUGCGACUGUUUAUUAAAAACACAGCACUCUGCAAACACGAAAGUGGACGUAUAGGGUGUGACGCCUGCCCGGUGCCGGAAGGUUAAUUGAUGGGGUUAGCGCAAGCGAAGCUCUUGAUCGAAGCCCCGGUAAACGGCGGCCGUAACUAUAACGGUCCUAAGGUAGCGAAAUUCCUUGUCGGGUAAGUUCCGACCUGCACGAAUGGCGUAACGAUGGCGGCGCUGUCUCCACCCGAGACUCAGUGAAAUUGAAAUCGCUGUGAAGAUGCAGUGUAUCCGCGGCUAGACGGAAAGACCCCGUGAACCUUUACUAUAGCUUUGCACUGGACUUUGAAUUUGCUUGUGUAGGAUAGGUGGGAGGCUUUGAAGCGUGGACGCCAGUCUGCGUGGAGCCAACCUUGAAAUACCACCCUGGCAACUUUGAGGUUCUAACUCAGGUCCGUUAUCCGGAUCGAGGACAGUGUAUGGUGGGUAGUUUGACUGGGGCGGUCUCCUCCUAAAGAGUAACGGAGGAGUACGAAGGUGCGCUCAGACCGGUCGGAAAUCGGUCGUAGAGUAUAAAGGCAAAAGCGCGCUUGACUGCGAGACAGACACGUCGAGCAGGUACGAAAGUAGGUCUUAGUGAUCCGGUGGUUCUGUAUGGAAGGGCCAUCGCUCAACGGAUAAAAGGUACUCCGGGGAUAACAGGCUGAUACCGCCCAAGAGUUCAUAUCGACGGCGGUGUUUGGCACCUCGAUGUCGGCUCAUCACAUCCUGGGGCUGAAGCCGGUCCCAAGGGUAUGGCUGUUCGCCAUUUAAAGUGGUACGCGAGCUGGGUUUAGAACGUCGUGAGACAGUUCGGUCCCUAUCUGCCGUGGACGUUUGAGAUUUGAGAGGGGCUGCUCCUAGUACGAGAGGACCGGAGUGGACGAACCUCUGGUGUUCCGGUUGUCACGCCAGUGGCAUUGCCGGGUAGCUAUGUUCGGAAAAGAUAACCGCUGAAAGCAUCUAAGCGGGAAACUUGCCUCAAGAUGAGAUCUCACUGGAACCUUGAGUUCCCUAAAGGGCCGUCGAAGACUACGACGUUGAUAGGUUGGGUGUGUAAGCGCUGUGAGGCGUUGAGCUAACCAAUACUAAUUGCCCGUGAGGCUUGACCAUAUAACACCCAAGCAAUU